rnacentral:pre_miRNA from 1 species
GUUGGCUGGCAGAGGAAUAGAAGAAUCCAGGGUCAGCUGAGCAUGCCCUCAGGUGGCUCACUGUUCUUUUCUAGAAUGUCAGGUGAUGU